rnacentral:rRNA from 1 species
CCCUUAGAUGUUCUGGGCCGCACGCGUGCUACACUGAGUGGAUCAGCGGGUCAGGUUGCGCGAAAGCGUUUCCUAAUCUUUAAUUCCGCUCGUGAUGGGGAUUGACGGUUGCAAUUUUCUGUCAUGAACGAGGAAUACCUUGUAAGCGCGGGUCAUCAUCCCGCGCUGAAUACGUCCCUGCCCUUUGUACACACCGCCCGUCGCUCCUACCGAUUGAGUGGUCCGGUGAGGCUUUGGGAUCUGAGCGGAAAGAGCGUUUCGCUGUUUCUGCUCGGAAAACUCAGUCGAACCUUAUCAUUUAGAGGAAGGAGAAGUCGCAACA